GGGCCGGGAGAUCCUCCUUGGGAAGAGGGUCAAGAAUUGGUCUUCAUUAUCGUCUCAACUUUGCCCACCACUGGGUCCCCGACGGUGUGUGUG
ncrna:unclassified sequences Rhodo-rpoB RNA